AAUAUUUGUCAAUGUAGGCAACUCUGAACCAGCCAAGUCGCGUGUAGGAUGACUGCCCUACGGGUUGUAAACUUCUUUUUUAAGGGAAUAAAGUGAGCCACGUGUGGCUUUUUGCACGUACCUUACGAAUAAGGAUCGGCUAACUCCGUGCCAGCAGCCGCGGUAAUACGGAGGAUCCGAGCGUUAUCCGGAUUUUUUGGGUUUAAAGGGUGCACAGGCGGAAUAUUAAGUCGGCGGUGAAAGUUUGCAGCUAAACUGUAAAAUUUCCGUUGAAACUGGUUUUCUUGAGUGUAUAAGAAGUAGGCGGAAUUUGUAGUGUAGCGGUGAAAUGCAUAGAUAUUACAAGGACAUCCGAUUGCGAAGGCAGCUUACUAAAAUACAACUGACGCUCAGGCACGAAGGCGUGGGUAUCAAACA
rnacentral:rRNA from 1 species